ensembl:snRNA U6 U6 spliceosomal RNA
GUGCUCACUUAAGCAGCACGUAUACUAGCACUGGAACAAUACCAAGAAGACUGGCAUGGCCCCUGUGCAAGGAUGACAUGCAAUUUGUGAAGUGUUUAAUAUUUUU